rnacentral:rRNA from 1 species
GAUGAACGCUGACAGAAUGCUUAACACAUGCAAGUCAACUGUGGAGGACGGGUGAGUAACGCGUAAAGAACUUGCCUCAAAGAUAGGGACAACAUUUGGAAACGAAUGCUAAUACCUGAUACUGUGAGAGAGCUUUGCGUCCCAUUAGCUAGUUGGAGAGGUAACGGCUCACCAAGGCGAUGAUUGGUAGCCGGCCUGAGAGUGUGAUCGGCCACAAGGGGAAUGAGACACGGCCCUUACUCCUACGGGAGGCAGCAGUGGUGAAUAUGGGACAAUGGACCAAAGUCUGAUCCAGCAAUUCUGUGUGAACGAUGAAGUUUUCGGAAUGUAAAGUGCUUUCAGUUGGGAAGCAGGACCAACAGAAGAAGUGACGGCUAAAUACGUGCCAGCAGCCGCGGUAAUAC